rnacentral:rRNA from 1 species
GCGAUCCCAGGUCAGGCGGGGCUACCCGCUGAGUUUAAGCAUAUCAAUAAGCGGAGGAAAAGAAACUAACGAGGAUUCCCUUAGUAGCGGCGAGCGAACCGGGAACAGCCCAGCGUGAAAAUCGUCCGUCAUCGGCGGCCGAAUUGUAGUCUGGAGAAGCGUCCUCAGUGACGGACCGGACCCAAGUUCACUGGAAGGUGGCGCCGGAGAGGGUGAGAGCCCCGUCGUGUCCGGACCCUGUCGA